AGAGUUAAACAGUACGUGAAAUUGCUAAAAGGGAAACACUUGAGAUCAGUGAUGCCGCUGGGAAAUCAGCUACCCAGUCAUGGGUGGUGCACUUUCUCAGUGGCGAGUCAACAUCAGUUUCGGUUGGGUUAAACCGUGCAAGGAAGGUGACCAGCACUUCGGUGUUGGUGUUAUAGCCUUGUACCUUUGCCUGGUCGAGACUGAGGUCUGCAGUGUUAUUUGGGUAGCCAGUCGCCUCUUGAAACCCUGUUAUAGACAGCAUGCUGACUAUGACUUGGUCUAGGGAGCACGGUUGGGAUUCCACACCAACACUUAGGAUGUUGACGAAAUGGUUUCAAACGACC
rnacentral:rRNA from 1 species